GGGCCCUUUCGUCCCCGGCGUCCGGGCGCCCUGCAUGGAUCCCCCACCCCAGCUCCUGCUCCCCGGCGGCGGCCGACUUCCUAGCAUGGGCUGUUGUGCUGGAGAGAACGAGAGCUACGAAGAGACUACAGUGCCUCUGACUUUUUCAUAGGACAGUUGGCCGAGGAAGACAAACAUAAAGAUGAAGUGCUUAAUUCAAGGUCACACAAUGUCGGGGAUGGACCUCCAGAUUUCCUUACUGACCUGCAUUAUCUUGUGGAUACCUGAGUGAAUUCCACACCACCCAUUUUAUAGAUGAAACCACUGAGACAUGGAGCAAUUGACUGAGUAGUCACUGCCCCACCCCUGCCUGGAGCCUCACACAUGACUCGCCUCCUCUCAGUGACCACAGGAAAACAAGCUCAGGGCUCCCACUGAUUGUACAUUAUGAGACGGAGUCUUGCUAUGUUGCCCAGGCUGGUCUUGAACUCCUCACCUCAAGCGAUCCUCCCGUCUUGGCCUCCCAAGUGUCAGGAUUACGGGCAUGUGCUAUCACACCCAACCUGAUACAUUGCCUUUAUAAAUUUUUUUUUCUUUAUUCUAAAAACCAGAAAAAACAAAACUGGAUACAUGUGCAGAACAUGCAGGUUUGUUACAUAGCUGUACGUGUGCCAUGGUGGUUUGCUGCACCUAUUGACCUAUCCUACCAAGUGUGUUGGGGACUUGAGAUGCGUACAUGAGUGUGAUGUUUCCUGCUGAAAGCACAGGUGAGACGUGGUCUUGUAACACAGUGGUUAAGAAUGUGACUUUGGAGCCAGCCUGCUAGGGGCUGAAUUCUGACUCAGCCAUUUACUAACUGUGUGACCUUAGUUCCCUGAGCACAUGCUGUUGAGUAAUCCUGCCUGGACCAGUACUUCCCUCACCCUAGACUUCACCUUCAGUUCCCCUUUAUACCACCUGCUGAAGCUGCCAGCCAGCCUUUUCGACCACCCUCCCUCCCCCAGGGGUGUUUGGCUUCUCAGACCCCAGCCUGAGCUAGUGCCCUUGGCUUCCUAGGGUCUUGCCAGGAAAGCAAAGGAGAACAUGCAUACCGCCAAAGAGUACCUAAUAAUAAGAACUCCCAUCCUGAAUUGUGAUUUAUAGUCAGCAUAGCACAUGUGUCAGGUGAUUAUACUUAGGCUGAUUUUAGCCUUAAUAAUCUGCUUCUGUGAUCCUGUAUGUGGGAAGCCUAGAAAUUUCUCUGUGAUCCUCCUUCCUGGAUCACUAAGAGACAAGUCAAGACAUAGGUCCAUUCUACCACCUGUGUUAAUCUGGGCCUUGUUGAGACCAUUUAAAGAAAGGCGUGAUGCUAGAAGUAAGGUCCAGGCCUCCUGCACACUGUUUCAAGGCUGUGACCAUAGUCAGAUCCUGUUGCUUGAGUCCAAAGAGUUUAAAAUAGUGUUGGAAACCUCCUAGGGAAAAAACAAAAAACAAAACACCACAUCUUCCUGGGUAAGGAAGUGACAUGUGCUGACUAGAGCAGGAGGGGUAGCCAAGGCUCCAAGUUCUAUUCUGGACCUGUUGUUGAUUUGAGGUGUGACAUUCAGCAAUCUGAGCUGAUGUUCUGUAGCUCUGAUUGGUUUCUCAUCUUCUGCAGAGAGAGUGAAAGAGGCUGUGCUUGCAGGGGAAAAGGUGAACACUGGUCUCCUGUCCUUUAGGAGAGCUUCACCAUUACACGUCCUGCCUCUCAUUUGAAUUUCCAGGCUUUUUUAGAGUCUCGCUCUAUUGCCCAGAUUGGAGUGCAGUGGUGUGAUCUCGGCUCACUGCAACCUCUGCCUCUGGGUUUAAGCGAUUCUCUCACCUCAGCCUCCCAAGUAGCUGGAAUUAUAGGUGCGUGCCACCAUGCCUGGCUAAUUUUUGUGUUUUUAGUAGAGACAGGGUUUCACCAUGUUGGCCAGGCUAGUCUCGAACUCCUGACCUCAAGUGAUCCACCCACCUCGGCCUCCCAACCAGGCUUUUUUAAAUGCAGAAACCGCCCGCCCCCAGAGUUAAUAUGGAAACCCAGCAAUGUUGUUUAUGUUUUACUUGAAUUCGUUUCAUCAGAAUUGCAUUCCUUUUAACAGUGUGAUUAGAUCAGCUCUUAGAGGGGAUGGCAGCUUCAGUAGGGUUUAGGAAAGGAAAGGAAUAUUUGUGUGGGGCACACACUUUGGCUUUGAUAGCUUGAGGAUACCAGGUACAUGAUAAUUUAGAUGGAUAACAGAAACUUGUGUCCCUUGAGAGCCAGGCAUGUAUUAGAUGCUUUCAUACAUUAUUUAAUUGUAAUACAAACCAAUAAAGUAUUCCCAUUUUUUGCACAUGGGCAAGCUGAAAGUCAAAGAAGUUAUGUAACUUGCCC
rnacentral:lncRNA from 1 species